GGUAAAAUGGCUGAGUAAAGCAUUAGACUGUAAAUCUAAAGACAGAGGUUUGACUCCUCUUUUUACCA
rnacentral:tRNA from 5 species